rnacentral:rRNA from 1 species
GGGGGGGGGGGGGGGGGGGGGGGGGGGGGGGGGGGCGGGCGGGAGGAGCCGGGGGGGGUGGGGUGCUCGAGUGGCGAACGGGUGGGUAACACGUGAGUAACCUGCCCUUGACUUUGGGAUAACUUCAGGAAACUGGGGCUAAUACCGGAUAGGAGCUCCUGCUGCAUGGUGGGGGUUGGAAAGUUUCGGCGGUUGGGGAUGGACUCGCGGCUUAUCAGCUUGUUGGUGGGGUAGUGGCUUACCAAGGCUUUGACGGGUAGCCGGCCUGAGAGGGUGACCGGCCACAUUGGGACUGAGAUACGGCCCAGACUCCUACGGGAGGCAGCAGUGGGGAAUAUUGCACAAUGGGCGGAAGCCUGAUGCAGCAACGCCGCGUGCGGGAUGACGGCCUUCGGGUUGUAAACCGCUUUCGCCUGUGACGAAGCGUGAGUGACGGUAAUGGGUAAAGAAGCACCGGCUAACUACGUG